rnacentral:rRNA from 1 species
GUGAGGAAUAUUGCGCAAUGGAGGCAACUCUGACGCAGCCAUGCCGCGUGCAGGAAGAAGGCGCUACGCGUUGUAAACUGCUUUUAACCGGGAAGAAACCCCAGGACGUGUCCUGGGUUGACGGUACCGGAGGAAUAAGCACCGGCUAACUUCGUGCCAGCAGCCGCGGUAAUACGAAGGGUGCAAGCGUUAUCCGGAUUCAUUGGGUUUAAAGGGUGCGUAGGCGGAGCGUUAAGUCAGUGGUGAAAUCCUGCAGCUUAACUGUAGGCUUGCCAUUGAUACUGGCGCUCUUGAGUGCGCUUGAAGUGGGCGGAAUGUGCCGUGUAGCGGUGAAAUGCUUAGAUAUGGCACAGAACACCAAUUGCGAAGGCAGCUCACUAAGGCGAUACUGACGCUGAGGCACGAAAGCGUGGGGAUCGAACAGGAUUAGAAACCCGUGUAGUCC